GAAUGCACAUACUGACCUACACCUAAUAUAUCCUCUGCCCGCUGCAGGCUCACUCUUCUCUCUCCCGUUCCAAUCCCCUUUUCUUCUCCGCAACCUUUCCCUUCCUUCAAGCAGCUUCUCCCUCUCCCUCUCCUAGUUUUUGUUCCGACAUCCAUCACUCUCUCAAGCAGUUGCUGCAGGUGCUUUGAUUAAUUUUACCAGGGAAGAAAGAAUGUUGUCCAUGUUUGCUAGAGGGAUCCGACGCGUUCACGGGGAAUCUGCUUGAGAGAGUGGUGGAUGCCGGAACAAAAAUUGAGGAGGGAAGGGGAAAGAGGGAGAGAGAGAGAUUACUGCAGUUGCUUGAAGGAAGGGAAAGGUUGCAUAGAAGAAAAGGGGAUUGGAACGGCAAUGAAAGGAUGCCCCAAGGUAUAAAAUUCGGGGCUGAGAAUUUUUCGAUGGAGAUGACGAAGAGGGGCUGAUUCAAGGUGUUCUCCAGCACCCUUGAUCAUUGGUACUAGGAUUAUUGAUAAGUUCAACGAAUUGAGAUUUCAUGACAUAUAUAGUGGUCGAGCUCGGAAAAGCGAUUGGGAAGGGAAGCAUAUUGUUUUACUGGUUGGUUUUAGUUCUGAUAUGGAGUGGGUUGGGAGAAGAUUGAAGUCGAAGUCAUACUGGAUAAUACACAACAGUUGAUGGACGAAAUGGUGUGAACAAGAGGAGUGAAAGGCAAAGAUAAUACACAACAAAUUGCAUAAUCAUAAAUGCUAAAAAGCUCAACCACAGGUAUAAUCAAUAUAACAAUGAAGAGAUGUGAAAGGCAAGACCCUCGCUUAUCUAGCUAGACAUAUUAUAGUCCAAGUAAAGUUACGUAAAAUUGUUUAACUCUAUGAUAAACGCUAUCAAAAAUACGGGCCGGAGGAAUCAAGAUAGAUCUAGCUUUUUGCCCGUAUUUUUUAUAGCAUUUAUCAAAAUUUGGGGUUGAUAGCA